AGUGAACGCUGGCGGUAGGCCUAACACAUGCAAGUCGAACGGCAGCACAGUAAGAGCUUGCUCUUACGGGUGGCGAGUGGCGGACGGGUGAGGAAUACAUCGGAAUCUACUUUUUCGUGGGGGAUAACGUAGGGAAACUUACGCUAAUACCGCAUACGACCUACGGGUGAAAGCAGGGGACCUUCGGACCUUGCGCGAUUGAAUGAGCCGAUGUCGGAUUAGCUAGUUGGCGGGGUAAAGGCCCACCAAGGCGACGAUCCGUAGCUGGUCUGAGAGGACGAUCAGCCACACUGGAACUGAGACACGGUCCAGACUCCUACGGGAGGCAGCAGUGGGGAAUAUUGGACAAUGGGCGCAAGCCUGAUCCAGCCAUACCGCGUGGGUGAAGAAGGCCUUCGGGUUGUAAAGCCCUUUUGUUGGGAAAGAAAAGCAGCAGGUUAAUACCCCGCUGUUCUGACGGUACCCAAAGAAUAAGCACCGGCUAACUUCGUG
rnacentral:rRNA from 1 species